rnacentral:lncRNA from 1 species
CGAAGAGUUGUUUUGUUUGGGUUUUCAGAAUUAUAAAUAAAAAUGCAAGUAAUUUAAACGAUUAAACUUAUGAAUUAAAGACAUUGGGCAUUAGGGUAUUUCAGAGAUCAACGAAUAAUGGAAACAUGAGACAAGGAAUUCAAUGAUUAAGCACCGUUCUUGAACAUGAACACAUUUAGACUAAUUCUCUUUCAAGACAUUAAUCACUAAAUUUGACUACUCGAUUACUAAACUUUCGCAUGUAAUUUCCUAGU